rnacentral:rRNA from 1 species
CCUGGCGGCCGUAGCGCGGUGGUCCCACCUGACCCCAUGCCGAACUCAGAAGUGAAACGCCGUAGCGCCGAUGGUAGUAUGGGGUUUCCCCAUGCGAGAGUAGGGAACUGCCAGGC